GCAUUCCUAGCGCCAUCUGUUUAGAAUUACUAGAAUUAUUGGAACGAGAUUUGACUAUGGUCAGUCUGGCGGAGCGUCGUGUCGAUGGUCAGCGCGAACAUGUUGAAUUUAGUUUAGUUUUCGAACGUCAACGGCGAGCGCACCACGUCUGCGACGAAUCGCUUUUUGUUCCAAAUAAUCUUGUGUCUUUUUGUUACAAAACUAAUUAAAAGUGAUUGAUUAAGUGAUUCCCUAAUUACGAGUGAAUAGAUUUUAGUGAAUUGCUGUAAGGGAGAUACUUUUUGUGAUUCUAUUGUUCCUACCCACAUAACAACUUAUUGAAGACAUGGCUUAUUCUUAUGAUAAAGGGCAUCCGCCCAUAUCAGAAGUGGGAUCCCAUGCGCUACUGACCGUGCAAAAACAACCACCUGACUAAAAUAGCGCCUUGAAGUUGUUAAGUAAUAUGGAAACUGACUCGGAUGUUAGCGACAACGCAACCACCGGUGGCAACUGCUAACGCCCAGUAUAGUGCAGUGAAAUUCGUAGUUUAAUCGGGUAGACGCAGACGCGGAUAUAGAAGGAUGACUAAGCAGCAAGAUCCGUCAACUGCAACACGUGCCCCCGAGAAAACUUCUACCGUAACCUGUUAUAUAUGCGGUCAAGUUGGACACAUAGCAACAAUUUGUAAAGAAAAG